GACGGACGCUGGCGGCGUGCUUAACACAUGCAAGUCGAACGGAAAGGCCCUGCUUUUGUGGGGUGCUCGAGUGGCGAACGGGUGAGUAACACGUGAGUAACCUGCACCUGACUUUGGGAUAACUUCAGGAAACUGGGGCUAAUACCGGAUAGGAGCUCCUGCUGCAUGGUGGGGGUUGGAAAGUUUCGGCGGUUGGGGAUGGACUCGCGGCUUAUCAGCUUGUUGGUGGGGUAGUGGCUUACCAAGGCUUUGACGGGUAGCCGGCCUGAGAGGGUGACCGGCCACAUUGGGACUGAGAUACGGCCCAGACUCCUACGGGAGGCAGCAGUGGGGAAUAUUGCACAAUGGGCGGAAGCCUGAUGCAGCAACGCCGCGUGCGGGAUGACGGCCUUCGGGUUGUAAACCGCUUUCGCCUGUGACGAAGCGUGAGUGACGGUAAUGGGUAAAGAAGCACCGGCUAACUACGUG
rnacentral:rRNA from 1 species